CCCGUUUAUACCCACAGGUAAGUUACGUUUUUACAUUUUUAAAAUAAUUUUAAUGAAAUAUUUAGUAUUGUAGUUAAUAGUUAUAUUGGUUAGACUAGCCCUUGUGUUACAUACUGAUACUAGAAGCAAAAAGGAUAAUAUUUACCUCAGACACUGCUGUGUAACGUUAGCAGUGACGGGCUUCGUCAGCCGUCGGUUCAGAAAGCCCUUUUCAAUUGUUUUUCCUCCGGUUUUAAAUUAUUUAAGUUACAGUCUCCCUUUAUUUCCUUGUUAAUGUUAAUUGAAUUGUCAAUAACAAUAAGACAGCUGUGUUAUAAGGAGACGAGCUUCGAGACAGAAGCGUGAAUUUUAAUUUCAAUGAAGCGCGCGCUCGUUGUUCGUUAACGGUACAUUAACAAUAAGCGCCAAUUCAAAUAUAAGCGAACCGGGUGGAAGACGGAGGAGUAUGAUAUGUGAAUGUUUGUCGCAGUUUCACACAUACUUAGGCCUGUGUUAACAGGUGUUAUUAAUUCUUCUAUAGAAUAUGAAAUAUUUGGUUGUUUUUUUUUUUUACAGAGCAGCAAAUUGAUGGGGAGACUCUGCUGGGUCUCACAGAAAGGAUGGUGGAAAGACUUUUUCCUGUAAUGAAACAUCAGGUGACAUUUAUGAAGGAGCUUAAUAAGUUAAAAAACCUGGAAACUGAAGUGCCUCAAAUAUCGUGUACUCCACAAGAACCCUGUGAGAAUGAGGGCUCAUUUGUUGCCCAACCUUGGCCAGCAGUAUACAACCUGCCUGUCUUUCCCCUGAAUUGCAAGCAGCUUUGCAGAGGAAGGAUCCCGGCUUUAAGAAGAAGGACAAGUCUCACAUCCGUGCAUUACUGAUUCAAGUGUUGUUUGACAGCAUCACCUAGCACACCUGGUACCCAAAUCAUAAAAUAUAUGGAGAUGUUCUGGGGAGUUUGAUCACCCGCUUUCCAUUUUUGAAGGAUGGCAGCUCCUCUGGUUAUGAUACCUUGUUGGAAUGCCUUAGAAACAAAUUUAAAAAGAAAGGAUUCCCUUGGUUAGCUCAUCAAUCGUCCUGCAAAUGAAGAAGAAGUAUGGGAUCAAAAGGAAGUGUGCUGGACAAACAUAUUCUGAGGGACUUAGUCAACAACAAGAGAUUGUGUUGGACCUGGAAGUAAUGGGUGAGGAUGAGACAAGUUUCCAGGAACACAUUAAUGCCAUCACCCUGGAGUUGCGUAAAAGCAACCCCAGUUACUCUGAGGUCAAGAACCGGAUGAAGCGCACUCUUUUCAAAAGAGUACAGAUUAUGGACAGGCCUGCAGCUGAAGUAAUGGAGCAGUUUCCUUUUCUUGGGGUGCCACAGCUUAUGCUGCAUGAAAUGACAAUGAGGUUUGGAACAGACUUGGCGAAGAACAUGGAAACAUCUCUAAAUGAAAUGGCCCCAAACAUCAUCAGGAGUGCAAAAGAAGGAAGUCAAAAAAACCUCUACGCAAAUCUCUUUGGACCAGCAGAGGAAACCACAGAGGGUCUCUUUAGGAAUGCUGCACUCAUUUUAUUGCCAGCACUAUUCAAAGAAAAUGCCACUUUCCUCUACUGUGUGGAUAGUUCAUAAGUUUUGGACUGUUUCUACUGCUAUGUACUGUCAUUGAAUAGCACCCCAAUUUUGAGUGCAUCGAUCAUAAAGGAAAUCUAUACAACUCCAGGGUUUAAUACUUGUCUUCUAAAGCAAAAUGGAACCCAAAGGUCCUACACCCACCAUUGUGUUUAAUGGCUCUCCUGAUCCCCUCAAUGCUGAAAGUGUCAGCAUUAUAAUGGACAACGUGACCAUUAUAAGAGAGGCAGACAUCGACAUGACACAGGCUGUGGAAUGCCUUUUUGCUGUCUAUUUUCUUUUCAAUGUGCAAUACCCGGUUCACAUUAAGCACACAAUGACUUUUAUUCAAAAAUACAUGCUUAAACUUAGGCAAGAGCAUGUCAAAAGAACACCAAUACCUGUACUAAAAAUGUACAGUCAACUUCUGUAAAUUGUAGUGAUAUUUAAUAUGUUUUAAUUGUUCAUGUAUUGUUUUUUAUCUGUAUUGUCAAAUAUCAGAAAAUAUAUAUUUUUUC